GACCCUAUUGUUGUUCAAAUGUUUAUUUUUCUAAGCGCUUCGAGGCCAAAUGUGACCCCCUAAACACCCAUGCGUGUGUGUAUACGUACAUUUUUUACGUGUUAAGACGUACAAAGGUAACGUUUUAAGUCUUACGAACAGAAUGACCGUCUUAAGACGUAAAAAAUUGGGUGCUACCAGUUCAUCAGUGUCUGGGGGGGGAAUUCCUACAUACAAUCCCUGCAAAUGAUAAAUUGAUGUUUUUUUGACAAACACCACUUGAUGGCCUGCGGUACUGCAGUUAACAUUUUUGGGCUAAAGACACCAAUGGGACCUGUUACACCAUACCCGGCUGACGAGGUGUCGGAGACAGGAAGUACAUCUGCCAAAACAAGAGUCUGUGCAGGACGCGGACUUCUCUUUCGUCCUCCACCCGUCCUGUCAACGAAACGGUUCCGGUUAAUAUGAACGGCUUAAAACAUGGAUCUACACUUUCUUUUACCAAGGGUGUUUUCUGGCUCACAAAACCCACUCCUUUUGGGGAGGAGUGCUUGGCCUCUACUUGCUUGAACUUUUGACAGUCCACUAUGUAGUGACCAGGUUUAUGACAAUAAAAGCAAAGUCUCUUUUCAGACCUUUUUGCUUUCACGUCCGUCACUUUCCUUACUGCGUGUGUUUCCGGUUUCUGGAACACCGUCGUAUGCGUUAACACGUAUUCAUCUGCCAUAGUUGCAGCAGAAGACAACAAACAAACUCUUUGUUCGUUCAGAUGGAUUACCAUGCCUUCAGGUAAUCUAUUUUUAAAUUCUUCCACCAGAAUUAAUUCACGGAGUGAUUCCAACGUGUUAACACCACACGAUGCACACCACCGGUCAAAGAGGGUACUCUUUUCCCGUGCAUACUCUACAUAGGUCUGGGAGGGUUCUUUCCUGUAAUUGCGGAACUUUUGGCGAUAAGCUUCAGGAACUAGUGCAUACUCGUUCAGAACCGUAGCCUUUACAACAUCAUAAUCUUGGCUUUCCACCAGAGGGAGCGCUGCUACUACCUCUUGAGCUUUGCCAGUUAGACGACAUUGUACCAGGAGUGGCCAACCCUCUUUCGGCCAUUUUAAAGCGAUUGCUAUUCGCUCAAAGGCUGGGAAAUAACUUCCGACUCCCUGAAGCCUGGAACAAAAGGAAUAGACUUUGAGAUAUCAAAUGGCACAGCAGCGCUCUGAGGUGUACCAGAUAACCCAUGGGAGGAGGUACUUGCCUGCGCGUUUAGUUCCACCUGCCGCAAGCGCACCGCUUUGUUGGCUUCGAUCUCCAACCAUUUCACUUCCAGUUGCUGGGCUUUCUCCUGUGCCUCUAAGUGAAGCCUGGCAAGCUGCACCCGCAAACGAGCAUCCUCUCCAGAAGCUUCCGGACCACUGUCUAACACAAAAGGGUCAAAACGGGGAAGUGUAACCGGGGUCGUAGGCCGAUCACCUCCCCCAGAUGCCUCUCCCUGCUCAGUCACGGUUGGCUGGGCUUUCUGCUCAGCUUCUACUGGAUCCACACCCAGAGCGUGGUCUUCAGCACCAGGAGACCCAGGCGGCGUCUCGGAACUACCAGGCAUACACAAAACGUCUCUCUUCACCAAUCCAGCUUUAACCACUGAUCUCAAUUCCCGUUUCCUAUAAUGUUUUAUCCAGGGUAUAUCGAAAUGGUCAGCUAUGACCGUCAAGUCGUCUUUACAACAGCCCAUCACCUGAUCCAGAGAAGGUUCCGCUAGAAACCUCUCCAAAUCAAAGGGGACCUUUUUAACCAUUAUAUUGGUAUAUUUCACCAGUACAAUGCUAGAAAAGGAGAUUGUUAACCACGUACCGUGUUGAGGUGACGUCACACGCUACUGCUGCUGCUCUCAGUGCUUCCGCUUAGCACAGCUAGCAGACACACUGGUUGAUGUCACAAACAAAAUAAACCGAUUAGUAAUCACAAUUACCAGUUAAUUUGAAUAAUAUCCCAGACGAGCCCCCAUUAUAUUACGUCCUCGAUUUCUAGGAGUGGUGAGGACGGAACACAAAGCGAGUCGAAACCGGAUCUCAAAUAAAAAAACACAAUUUAUUACAAAAUAGUGGGUUCAGAUACAGGACCGGAAUCGACCCAAAAUAAACAAUGAAAAGGUUGUCAAAACAAUUAAUCAACUAAAGGUGUCCACAAAGGGUAACAAGUCCAAACAAAGGCUUCUCAAAAGGAUUAACAAUAAAUAUUGCAAACAAACCGAAAAUGUCCCAAAUCAAAAACGGGUGCACGCACAAAGGCGGAAUUUAGCUCAAACACAACUAAAAGAUUUCAACAAAAGACGUCACCUCACUCAGGGUAUAAGGAACACAACUCCAAAUAAAGACUUUACAAGUUAGCUGUCUACACAAGCCAAAACCACACAGGGUCACUUCCACAACCACAGUACACAACACUCCCAGUCUGGCAAGCUACGUCCCUCUGUCCACAGCUGCCAUGAAUGAAGCAGAUGACGGUGUUUAAUAGGAGCAGCAGCAGCGCUAUUGGUUGGCAGUUGAGUAUCCCGGAAGCAGGUGGACCAAUCCAGUCAGGGUAGGGCGGUGCCAGGUGGUGUCACUCUGUCAGUCUAUGGCAAGACAGGCGGCAGUCUCAUCAGGUCAUUAGGCCGGCAGGCAGGCGGCCGUAACAGGACCCAAUGACACAGCACAGGACCUACAGACAGAGACAACCUGAGCGAAAAAGAAAAGUUGAAUAACAAAUCAAUCUUCAGCAAACCAUUGCAAAAAACAUCAACACAUGCUCCCAUUUUGUUUAAUAGUGGUUGGCGUCCAGCUUAUCGGUCUUUGUCAGACAUAUGACCUAACUUGUCGACACACACCCCCUACACCAUAUCAGUUGCAUCUCGGAUAUGAGACUUCCGCCGGAUGAAGGGACAGACAAGUUGGAGGUUUUAAGCUUGCUAUCUUUUGCCCACGAAAUUGCCUUUUAAUUCAACGUCAGCCAUUCGACAGACUCUAAGGUACAAAGGAAAACUUUGGCACGGCUGCCCUUCAUGGAAAAUUCAAUUAACCACCUUUAAUUUUGUCUCAAUUAAGCAAGAAAAGUGAAAUCAGGCUAACAUCAACCUCUGGUCAUGCUAACCAGUGUUGUGCAGUCACAAGAUGGAACUCGUUUUAUGAUGCUGUAGCAAGAAUCGCUGAAACACCAAUAACUGACUUGAAUAACAUUUCUGACCGUUUACAGUUAAAAUGUAUCAGUGAAAGAGAACUUCAGUUUCUCAAGGAAUACUGUGCAAUCAUGAAGCCUCUCAGAGUUGCUCUGGAUAUCCUGCAAGGAGAAGAGAACUGUUACUUUGGCACCCUCCUGCCCACGUUAGAAGUACUGAUGUCAAAGACACUGGAAAUGAAAGAAUGUCUGAUUAUUGCAGUUGGCUUACCAGAUGCCAUUGUUCAGGCUAUCAAAACACGUUUUGUAUCUGUCUUCGAAAACAAUGAUGCACUACUGGCAGCUGUCACACUUCCCAUGUUCAAACUGUGGUGGUUGAAAGACUAAAGCAAGAAAGAGAAGGUCAAGGGAGCACUGGCAGCUGAGUGCCACAAGCUCAUCCCUCAGCAUGUCCGUGUGCAGCAAGCAGCCAAGAUGCCUGCAACUCUGUCAGCACCAGAUUCAAGCUUCUCCAAUGUACAGGACUUUUUCUGCUUUGAGGAGGACAGUGAUACCUUCAGCGCUGUUGAAACUGAGGUACUGACAUACUUGAGAAUAGCCGAAACAGGGAUGGAGAUUCUCAAACAAUUUCCCACAAUAAAGGAAAUUUCUUUUAAGAAAAAUGCUGCUACUCCAUCCAGUGCACCAGUCGAGAGACUUUUCAACUUGGGAAGUCUGGUGCUUUCUCCAAAGAGGAACAAACUGACUGACCAAAGAUUUGAGAGGCUUCUUCUCAUGCGGUACAACCACUGGUUUGAAGGGGAAACCUCAACUCAGAUUUUCAUUCAGGUUCUUUCUUGUUAGCAUUUUUUGUUGUUUUAUACAUUUCUGUGUAACAAAAACAUUAGCUAUCUUAGUCACAGUGACACAUUUGUUUAAUUUUAGAACAUAUAUAGAACACAUUGGUUUAUAUUGCUGCAAAUAAGCCUGAUUUAUAUGAUGGAAAUAUAAAAAACAGCACUUGCUUAUGUGAAUGGUGUUCAGUUUUAUUUUUACACUUGACAGGAUACAUGCGGAUUACUUUAAAUACGUUGCUGGCAUGCAACUUUUAUUUAAUUUCAAUAGGGUUUUUCACUGUCUAAUUUAUGCACUUGGAAGGUGUAUUCUUCUUAAGCUUCAGUUAUGUCUGUGUUCUACCUAAUUUCGUUGCAUAUUUCAAGAAAAUUGUGAAAUUCAGAGAGAAAUUAAAUUAUAUUUUCUUUAUGUUUACUCAUUGGGAGUUAUUGCAGAUCUCUCUCUUUUUGUUUUGUGUGAGUCUCUUUGACUUUUAUGUGUCCCCUUCAAAAUAUUUAGUGCAUGUUGACUUUUCAAGCACUUACGGGAGUCUUAUUUUCUUUACUGUCUUCAGUUAUAGGAAAAAUAAUCUGUGUAUUAACAAAAACAAUUUUUUCACUUAGUAGUCACAAUGACAAUUUUCUGUUACAUUUAAGAACAUUUAUUUGAUUUAAAAUGCAUUGUGUUUCUCAGAUUAGGCUGUUUAAUAUUUUUUAAGUAAAUGUUGGACAUGUCAAUCAGCAGUUGCUUAAUGUGUAUGAGGUUGCACUUUAUUCAUAUUCAUACAUUAUAAAUUUCAAAUAAUUUGCUACCUACCUUCAAUAAACUAGUGUUCAAAGAUUA